CACGUAAGGCGCAAGCGUUGUCCGGAAUUAUUGGGCGUAAAGAGCUCGUAGGCGGUCUGUUACGUCUGCUGUGAAAACCGGGGCUUAACCCUGGGCUUGCAGUGGAUACGGGCAGACUAGAGGCAGGUAGGGGAGAAUGGAAUUCCCGGUGUAGCGGUGAAAUGCGCAGAUAUCGGGAGGAACACCGGUGGCGAAGGCGGUUCUCUGGGCCUGACCUGACGCUGAGGAGCGAAAGCGUGGGGAGCGAACAGG
rnacentral:rRNA from 1 species